AACGUAGGACACAAGCGUUAUCCGGAUUUACUGGGCGUAAAGGGCGUGUAGGCGGAUCAAUAAGUCUGAUGUGAAAGCCCACGGCUCAACCGUGGAGGGUCAUUGGAAACUGGGGGACUUGAGUGCAGAAGAGGAGAGUGGAAUUCCACGUGUAGCGGUGAAAUGCGUAGAGAUGUGGAGGAACACCAGUGGCGAAGGCGACUCUCUGGUCUGUAACUGACGCUGAGGCGCGAAAGCGUGGGGAGCGAACAGG
rnacentral:rRNA from 1 species